rnacentral:tRNA from 1 species
GGGUCCGUAGCUCAGUUGGCUAGAGCGUUCCCUUGACAUGGGAAAGGUCACAGGUUCAAGUCCUGUCGGACCCA